UUGAUUCAUUUGCUUGCCCCUAAGGGCCACUCAGAUAAAUUCCGCUAAGAGAAAACAGGAGAGUUUUUGGCCUCCGGCGGGCGCCUGGGUCCGGGCCGCGAGGGCUCGGGGCAGUCCCGCCGAAGCAACGAUUUGGUAAGGUUCACAGUGGGUUUGGGAGUUGUAUAACUCGGUAAUGAUCCCUCCGCUGGUUCACCAACGGAGA
rnacentral:misc_RNA from 1 species